rnacentral:miRNA from 1 species
UCCUCCUCGGGCUCAUCGGGC